rnacentral:snoRNA from 1 species
GUGCAAAUGAUGUGAAUUUUUUUUACCGCUGAGUAAAAGUGAUGUUUCCAAAGGAACCACUGAUGCAC